rnacentral:tRNA from 1 species
GCCUUCGUGGUGUAGUGGUCAGCACGCUCGGCACGUAUUCCAAAGGUCCGUGGUUCGAAACCCGGCGAGGGCA